UACGUAGGGUGCAAGCGUUGUCCGGAAUUAUUGGGCGUAAAGAGCUCGUAGGCGGCUUGUCGCGUCGGCUGUGAAAACCUAGGGCUCAACCCUGGGCCUGCAGCCGAUACGGGCAAGCUAGAAUUCGGUAGGGGAGACUGGAAUUCCUGGUGUAGCGGUGAAAUGCGCAGAUAUCAGGAGGAACACCGGUGGCGAAGGCGGUUCUCUGGGCCUGUUCUGACGCUGAGGAGCGAAAGCGUGGGGAGCGAACAGG
rnacentral:rRNA from 1 species